UACAGAGGGGGCAAGCGUUAUUCGGAAUUAUUGGGCGUAAAGCGCACGUAGGCGGGUCGUUAAGUCAGGGGUGAAAUCCUGGAGCUCAACUCCAGAACUGCCUUUGAUACUGGCGAUCUUGAGUUCGGGAGAGGUGAGUGGAACUGCGAGUGUAGAGGUGAAAUUCGUAGAUAUUCGCAAGAACACCAGUGGCGAAGGCGGCUCACUGGCCCGAUACUGACGCUGAGGUGCGAAAGCGUGGGGAGCAAACAGG
rnacentral:rRNA from 1 species